CCUACGGGAGGCAGCAGCCGCGGUAAUAUGGAGGAUGCGAGCGUUAUCCGGAUUUAUUGGGUUUAAAGGGUGCGCAGGCGGAAGAUCAAGUCAGCGGUAAAAUUGAGAGGCUCAACCUCUUCGAGCCGUUGAAACUGGUUUUCUUGAGUGAGCGAGAAGUAUGCGGAAUGCGUGGUGUAGCGGUGAAAUGCAUAGAUAUCACGCAGAACUCCGAUUGCGAAGGCAGCAUACCGGCGCUCAACAGACGCUCAUGCACGAAAGAGUGGGUAUCGAACAGGAUUAGAAACCCCAGUAGACCAGAUCGG
rnacentral:rRNA from 1 species